GUGUGUGAUGUGCGUGUGUUACUGAAAAUGGCCGUGUACGUGCGGGUCUGUCUAGUUUACUGAUUCCACACACGAUAGUUUGCACAUUCUUUUUAAUAUUUGGAUUUAAACAGUGAAUUUUUCGAUGAUAUGUGUAAUUAGUGUGAACAUGUAAUUUAAAGAUUUUAACUAGUUAUCGAUAAUAUAAAUUGAGACGAAGUGUGCCCAUUUCAUGAACGGUGGAUCAUUAAAAGAGAAGUUUUAUAUAUAUAUUGCAACUGAGAAUAAAAGAUUAUUAAUAAUGGGUUGCAUUCUUUAUAUUUGCAUUAUUAUUUAUUUAAACAACUUUGUUGAUUAGUGAAUAUUGACUAUAUAUUAUCAAGAUGUGGGAGAGAUUUCAUAUAAUUCCCUAUUGUAAGAUGGGGAUAUGAAUUAAGUAUAUUUUUUAAAACAUUUUCUAUUUUAAAAGGAAAUGUUAAAAUAUAUUUAAAUAAUAGAAAGUAUGCAAAAAUAUAUAUAAGAUGAUUUAUGUAUUUUGUAAUAAUUUCAAAUAAGAAUGAAUUAUUUAAAAAUUGCUUAAAUUUAUAUUUAAAAUCAAUGUAAAAUACAUAUUUGUUGUUAAUGAUAAACAUUAUUGAGUUUUAUGACAUAAUGUAAUAGAAAUAUAUAUUUUACAUAUAAAUAUUGAGUAAGAAUUACAAAAAUGUCAUUCUUAUCGAAUUUAAAGAAAGCAUUCCACUUUGGUGGAAAUGAUGCUAAGAAAAAGAAAUUAUAUAAUAAUAUUAAAAUGGACUGUAAUCCAGAAGAAUUCUGGGAAAUGAUAGGUGAACUAGGAGAUGGAGCAUUUGGAAAAGUUUAUAAGGCACAACAUAGGCAAACUCAUCAACUUGCUGCUGCAAAAAUGUGUGCAUUGGAGGGAGAAGAUGAUCUCAGUGAUUUUAUGAUUGAAAUAGAUAUUUUAUCAGAAUGUAAACAUCCCAAUGUUGUUGAAUUACAUGAAGCAUAUUUUAUUGAAGGCAAAUUAUGGAUGUUGAUAGAAUAUUGUGAUGGUGGUGCUGUUGAUUCCAUAAUGGUCGAAUUAGCAAAAGCUUUGACAGAACCACAAAUAGCCUACAUAUGUCAACAUAUGGCAAAAGGUCUUGCAUUUUUACAUAAAUCUAAAGUUAUUCACAGGGAUUUAAAAGCAGGAAAUGUUUUAUUAACAAUGGCAGGAGGAGUGAAAUUAGCUGACUUUGGAGUAUCUGCAAAAAAUAAGCAUACUUUACAGAAACAUGACACAUUUAUUGGGACACCAUAUUGGAUGGCUCCAGAAGUAGUGUUAUGUGAGACAUUUAGAGAUAAUCCUUAUGAUUUUAAAGUAGACAUUUGGUCACUUGGUAUUACUUUAAUAGAAUUCGCGCAAAUGGAACCACCAAACCAUGAAAUGUCUCCAAUGCGUGUUCUUCUUAAAAUACAAAAGAGUGAUCCACCCAGACUUGAUCAACCUGGAAAAUGGAGCAAAGAUUUCAAUGAUUUUAUUGCAAAAGCUCUUAUUAAAGAUCCAACAUCACGACCUACAGCUGAUGAAUUAUUAAAACAUCCAUUUAUAAAUCGUAAUUUGGAUUCAAAACCGAUCAGAGAUUUGUUAUUGGAAUAUAAAGCUGAUGUUGUUGAGGAAGAAUUGGUCGAUGAAGAAACUGAGGAGCAACGCACGUCUCAGCUUCCUCUGGAGCUGGAUCAACUCGGAGAUGACUCUGCGUCUAUGCGCAGUGACGCUGAUGUUCAGAUUUCUGAAAAGGAAAAUCUUGUUGCAUCACCCGUGUCUGCAAAAAAAGAAGAAAGUCAUAAACGAGAAAUUAACAGAGAUGGUGAAAGAGAGGAUAGAAACAAGAAAUUACGUAAAGCGGAAUCAAAAGAUAAUAUAACCGUUUCUGUUGAGAAAAAACAAGCACCCAAGCCUCCUAAUACAAACGAAACGAGCGAACGUAGAGUAUCUCGAGAAAAAGGUCCUGCGCCUCCUCCACCACUUAUGCGUCAAAAUAGUAAAAUCGAAGAUAAGGAAAAUAAUAUAAAAGUUGUCGAUAAACAAAAUAAUAAAGAAGUAUUAAACGAAUACAAGGUUAUUGAUAAGCAGCCAAAAGAUAGAAACGAGUCGUCGCAAUUAGAUCAGGAAACGUUAGGCAGGGAACAGACAAAUGUAGAUACGCUUUGUGAAAAAACAAACGUAUUAUCUAGUUUAGAAAAAAUUAUAUUAGAAAGUAACGAAAGAGAAAAGAGCAAGAUAGAUAAUGCGAACAAGAAUGAUAUUAAACAAAGAUCGAUAGAUGAUAAGAUGAAUUUAUCGUCGAGGACACAAUUGACAUUAGAGGAGAAGAGAAAGUCGGCACCUGUUAAAUUAAUCGAAGACUGGACGAAACCAGUGUUCAAUAAACAAUCGUCGUUGGAAGAAAAAAGCAGAAUUGAGAAGAAAGCGCCAAUUGAUGUACAAGUUAAAAGACAAUCUUCAUCGGAAGAAAAUUACAAGAGUUUGCAGGAGAAACGAAAAUCGGUGGAGCAAAAAUUAAAUGCCGUUUUGGAGAAACGAUUUUCGAUGGAUACCGAAAUGCGAAUGAGCGUUUCUUCCAUGGAGGCAUUGUCGCAUCGAGAAGUUUUAACGACGAGUACAUCCGAGAAGAAUAUCGUCAAGGCUUGUUCGAUCGAAGAUGUUAAAACGGAUUAUGGAAAGUCUAAAACGGAAUCUGUCGUCAAAAGUCACAGCGAAGGAUCUUCCAGAUACGUCUCGUUGGAGAAUUUUCCCGAUGAAUUCGACGGGAAACGGGCCGAUAAGAAAUGGCCGAGCAAAGAACACAACAAUUACGAGAAUGUGGUGAACAAUGGUGACGGCGUAAACUGUGAGAAGAAAGGUUCUUCGGUGAAUGUAUCAGUAAUUACAUCAACUCCUAUUAAAAAUACUUCGAGAAGAGGUAGCGGAGAUAACGUAGUUGUCAUUACUGGUAAAUCCGAUCAAGAAAUACGUCCAAAUACAUCAACCGUCCGGAUCACAUCAGAUAGCCCAGAUUUAUCAAACAGCCUUGCGAGCAACGUCAGCCAAGUGACAGUGGUGACGACGCAUCCUCCGGUUCUCGUCGAUGCUGUGUCGUUAGCGGCGACUCUUUCCUGUCGUCAACCUCCAACGUCGGAGGUUAUCAUCGUCGCGAACGAAUUGAACAAGACACAGGUGAACGAGAGUUCAACGGACGACGAUGGAUUCCCGAGUUUAGACAGUUUAGAAUACAUGCCUCAAGAGCAGCCUAUAAUUCUUACCGACGUUUCGAAAAGAAUCGGUAAGAAGUUGGACGAAUCCGAGGUUCUGAUUGUUAGCCCGAUCGUAGACGAAUUGCAAGAUACUAGUCACGUUUCCGUUGUUACCGUCGGCGACGAUAAGGAACAGGUGAAAGAUUCCUCGAUGCUCAACAAACACGAGGCCGUGCGAACCUCUUCCUCUCACAGCGAUACGAGUUUGAUCGAAAGAUCGAGCACGAAGAGCGACAGCGGCGACGAGAUCACGAAAAUGAUAGUCGCCGGGACAACGAUAGAGUCCAUCCACGACAUGGACGACGUGGAGAGAAAUAAUGGUUCGAAGAAAGUGAACGGCCUGUUGAAAAAUGAUAAAUCGGCGAUCGUCGAUCGUAUCGUGGACGAGAAAGUUUUGAAAACGUUGAAACAGAAAGAGAUGGGUAAAGGGUACAAAGAGAAGAGAGUGUCCCCGGAUAGUUUCGAAGGAUCCAGAUCCCAGAGCGAGUCCGGCUCGACGAGAUCUCAUACGCCUAGUAAAAGCAUAGAUCGUUCCGACGCCGAAUCCAUUUCCACGACGAUAAGCCAGGACAGCAGGGAAUCGAGUAAGGAGAAUCAUCUGAGUCAAUCCGGUCAAUCCGGGGAAGUAGACGAGGAAGUGGUGUUGCGACGGAAGUCGGAUUACAAUCGGGAGAUGCAACGACCGACGAAAACGAAGGAGGAUAUACAGAUGAUGAAUUUGAAGAAGAAAACGAGGAAAAGGACGAGGAAAUUUGAGAUAGACGGCGUGGUUGUUACCACGACGACGUCCAAGGUAAUUUACGGGGACGACGAGAACGGUAAAGUUUACGAUGAUCAAAUUUUCAGGAAGCAAGAGUUGAGGGAAUUGAAGAUGCUACAGAAAAUGGAGCAGAAACAGUUUCAGGAUUUGUCGCAAAAGGCCCAGUUCAACAAGGAUCAGCAAGACAAACGUUUCGAGCAAGAGAGGCAACUGUUGGAAAGAAAUGCCGAGACCGAUUUGGAAACGCUUGCUCGCCAGCAAAGGCAGCAGAUCGAGCGUGCGGAAGCGCAGCAAGAGGCCGAUCUUAGGCUGGCUUCGAAGAAAAUACGAAGCGAGCAGGAGAGGGAAUUGAAACAAUUUCGCGAAGGGUUGAAACAGGAAUUGAAACUGCUCAAGCAAGAGGUGGAUCUGAUGCCUAAAGAUAAGAGGAAGAGUGCGUUCAAGAUACGUAAGGAGAAAUUGGAGGCUGAACACGAGGAGAGGGAGAAACACUUCUUAGACAAGCUUAACGAAAGUCACGAAUUGUUGUUGAGAAGAUUGUCGGAUAGCCAUCGUGAAAAGAUUGCCCUGAUGGAAAGGCAAUUUUUGCAACAAAAGCAACAAUUGAUGAGAGCUCGGGAAGCUGCCAUUUGGGAACAGGAAGAACGGCACAUACACGAGAAGCAGCAAUUAUUGAAGAAACAAUUGAAGGAUAUUUUCUUUUUGCAAAGACAUCAGAUGUUGAUACGACAUGAGAAGGAAUUGGAACAGAUGAAGAGGAUGAAUCAACGGAAGGAGGAGGAAUUGAUCAAACGGCAGACGGUGGAGCGUAGAAAUUUACCCAAAAGAAUUCGCAACGAGAUGAAGGCGCGCGAAAUGAUGUUCAGGGAAUCUAUGAGGAUCUCCAUGUCCUCCGUCAUCGCGCCUGACCCCGAUGCCGAGAGGGAAAAGUUGAAAAAGUUCCAAGAGAAUGAGAAAAAGCGAUACAGAGCCGAGCAACAAAGAUUCGAAUUGAAACACUCGCGGCAAUUGGAAGAGGUAAGAGCGCAAAGCGAUGCGACUAUCAAAGAAUUGGAACAAUUACAGAAUGAAAAGAGGAAAAUGUUAAUGGAGCAUGAAACGUUGAAGCUGAAGGAAUUGGAAGAGGCGUAUGCUAAAGAGCUUCGCGAAUGGAAAGCUCAACUCAAGCCACGAAAGCAGAAGUUAGAAGCUGUGCUGACGGCUGAAAUGGAAGCGUUGGAAGUUCGUUACCGAGACUAUUUGCCCUCGAGUCUUAGUGGUCUCUCUUCUCCCCUUUUAGAUUGUUCUUCUCUGUUUAAUUUUGAAAGUUGGAAGAAAUCUCCGCGUCUGCCCCGCUCUACUCCAACAUCCCCUUCCCCGUUUACCAUUCCAAGGGUGUCGCUAAGAGUUGGUGGUUUGGACACCGGUUCCGUUAAUGGCAUGCCAUCACGAAGUCAAUCCAAACCAGAUCUAGUACCGUCCCCCUCAUCUCGUAGAUAGUAUUCCGAAAAAUCCUCUUGUGUCUCCUCCCAAAAAAUGUUUUCGUUUCAUUCAUUCAGGGAGAAGUUUCGAAAUAAGUAUCACUAUUCUAUUCUCUGUUUCACCAUUUAUUUCUUUUAUAUAAUUACAAUUAUUUUUCUUAUUUUUUUUUCUCUCUCUCUCUCUCUCUCUAAUCAUAGCAUUAAACUUAAUUAUUUUCCCCCUACAAUCUAAUCUAACUAUUUCGAAAUUUCUCUUACUAAUUAAAAAUUAUGCUUUUGUGUAUUUAAGGGUAUCAUUUAUUUUUUUUUUUUUUUUACUCAUGCCCGCUUCACUCACUCGUUGCUUCAAUUAUACAGCAAUAUUUAUCGUCUGUUUAAAUGCUAUAUAUUCGCAUCCAUUAUUAUAUUACAUGUACAUAUAUAUAAUUUACGUUUACGUAUGAAUGUGUCCCCCCAAUAUGCACACACGUACAUUUAAUAUUAUAUUUUUACGUAACCAAUUUAAAGGAGAAAUAUAUAUAUAAAUAUAUAUAUAUAUAUAUAUAUUGUUUGGGCUUAAUAACGCGGAAUAACAUUUGAAAUAAUAUGAUAAUAUAUUGUAUAAGGAAAUAAUUAAUUUAUAACAUGAGUUUGCAAUUCUUGGGGAACCAUAAUAAGUAUAUAUACCCUUAAAAUGAUAAGAGCUUGUUAUUGUUUAUAAGCUAUUAAUAAGUUUAAGUUUAUAGUUUCUUUGUACUUUUUUUUUUUUUUUGUUUCCAAGUGAUGAGAUAUAUUAAACAUAUAUAUAUAUAUAAAAUAUAUAUAUCACUGGCAUUAAAUUAAUUUAAUCGUUGAAAUUGCACUUAAAUUACGAUGUUGCAGAUUUAUUGUCCACUCGUUAAGUUUUUUUCAUCACAAAUAAACAUAACGUAUCAUAAGACAAUUUUUUUUAAUAAUAUAAUCAUUAAUGUUCAGGAAUAUCGACGAGCAUUUAUAUAUACAUAUAUAUAUAUAUAAAUACAUACACUAAAAUGGUACUUUAUGCUUAUUUUCUAUGUGAUUAGAUAUUUAUCGUUUCCGUUGUAUUAUCGAUAAUAUAUGUAAGUUUCGUGUUUUCGAUAGUAGCUUUUUUUCCAUGGUUAUUAAAACACAAAAUUAUAACAGGAGGUGAAUUGGUAAUAUAAUUGUGGGUUACAUGUAUGUUGUAUACUUACCGAAUGUAGUAAAAUGUGCGAUAAAUGCUUAUAAUAUACAUGAGGGGAUUCUCAUAAUAAUUGUUUCCAAUUGUGUACGUUGUGUAUCGCGUUUAUUCCCUAUAUUUGUUACGUACCUUUCUCAUUAAAUAUCCAUUAAGACAACAUGUCGGGAAAGAGAUUCCACGACUGGAUAUCAGAACGGUCUACUAGGUAAUAAACAAGAAAUUGGAAGAACAGUUUGCGUUACAACUGGAGGAGCAAGAGGCGAUUUACGGGCCAAGCGCUAUACCAUUGUGCUUACCGGCAGAUCUUACCGACUUGACGCAUCAUACGGUUGGCUCAACCCGUAGCUCGCUCUCCUCGGUGAGCGAAGGUUAAUUAUUGUCUAAUUUAAUUUUUAUCGAACCGAAUACCAAAAUGAGUCUCUAUCAACGUGAGGAAAUAAAGCAUAAGGGAUAAUGUCGAUAUAAGUAAUACUUAUAUACGAGUAUUGUUGUAUCAUCCGAUCUGUUUUGGAUAUUGGAAUCGUCACUGAUCAUUUAAAUUUGAUUGUGUGUAAUAAAGAUUUAACAAAAUAAAUCGUCGAUUGAAGAUUGCGUGGGCUAUCAACGAUCGCUCGUACGCUCUAACUAAAGAGAGAAUUUUCUUUAAUUCCAUGGAUGAUUCAUACCGAUGAUCAAUUGAAAAAUUGUGUGAGUACGAAUCUGUGAACAUUAUUAUACCAUCAUAUAUAUAUAUAUAUAUAUUAUACGAUAUGAUCAAACAGCAAUAAGAUUAAUAAAGAAGAAAGAGAAGAAUGGAAGAGAAGGGAAAGAGCAAGAUUGAAAAUCGUUUUUUCUCUUAAAUUAGAUACUUAUUAUAUUUAUGAAUGAUUUACUACACACAAAUGAAAUGAAUUUGUUACGGUGAUUCUAUUGAAAGCUGUAUACUAUUUGGUACAUACAAUUCAUAAUCAAUCCGCCCGUUGAUCGUUUCUUCUGUAAUUUGGAUAAAGCAGACAAGACUCAUGAUCAGUAUAUCGUGAUUCUACUAAUAAAAUUACAUUUUUUUCUACAAUUCAUAUAUAUAAAUAUAUAUAUAUAUAUACAUGUAUAUUGAACUAGAAAUCGAAAUUAAUUAAUUUGAAGAUAAUUUACUAUUCUAUUCUACACGCGAUGUCCACGAUAUUCAAUGGAAUACCAAGUGAUUUUUAUGUGUACGUAAAUGCACAUUUGAAGAAUUAUAUUUUCGAUUGUGCGAGUGUAUAUAUACAUAUAUGCAUAUAUAUAUAUAUAUAUAUAUAUAUGCUUGUUGUCCUAUUGAGUGUUAUGGCAUAGACAUUUAUCUAGAGAAUGAUGUUGAAGCAAGUGAAUAAAAUGUAAGGUUGGUAGUUGCGCGCGCAUUUCAAAACUGUGGAUGCACGCGAUUCAGGUAUAUUUAUAUACCUCCGUUCGGAUCAUUGAAUCGAAAGUCCUUAUGUAUGUGAACCAACACAUGUAGACUCACUCUCCGUCUUCGUUAUUAGAUUAUUUAACGAGUUGUAUCGUUUGUAAAGAAAAUGCUAAAUCUACUGGCAGAUUGUUUUUAAUCAAGAUAUAUUUUUAAUAAAUAAAACGUUCAACAGUACGAAUCAAAGGUUCACGCCAAAUAUAUAUAUAUUAUAUACACACAAUGUAUGAUUUUUCUUAUCUGCGAGUCUAUAUGUAUAGGCAGAGAAUGUUAUAGAAAGAAUCUCUUUGAUUGCGUAUUCGAAACGAGCAUGUGUUGUGUACUAACUCUAAUGUUCGUAACGUUUAGAUGUAAAGAAACGUAUAUUUGUAUAAAAUAUUUUCUUUCGUUUCCCCUUUUAUUUUUAUUAUUUUUUCUUUUUCUUUCUUUCUUUCUUUCUUUCUUUCUUUUCUUUCCAUUUCCUUUAAUUGUACAGUACAUUAACUUUUGUAUUUUUUCUUUAUCCACGUCAAUCUAUCAUCCGAAGGUGUGCUUAUACGAUUAUAUUGAGUAAGAUAUAUUGUAUAUAUAAAAAAAACUCGAAAUGAAUUGUUUGAUAUAUAUUUUGAUUAUUCUACUUUUACUACGUACAGAGUAUAAGAGUUUCACGAUGUCGAGUCUUCGAGAACAGUUUAUUUACCUUCUUAAGCGAGAAAUACGUUGAAUGUAUCCGUUUUCGUCCGUAUCCACAUAAACGGAGGAAAAAAAAAACUGCGGCUAACUCGAGUGAAAUUUGAUGCGUGUGAUUUGUAAUCAACGUUCGCUCGAGUUCUUUUUUAUUUUUCUUCUUCUUCUUGAUGCGUGUAACGUGUAAGUAAAUACGAGGAGUUCGUUUUUAAUAAUAAAUAAUAAUAUUAAUAAUAAUAAAUAAUAAUAAUAAUAAUAAAAAAGGAAAGAGGACAUUUGCCAAAGCAUAUAUGUAAAUACAUGUAUUCUUGAUAUUUUUAGGAAAGCAUUAACAUUUUAGGGACAUGUAAAAAGGACACUUGUGAUGUGACGACGAAAAAAAAAAAAAAAAAAAGGGGCGUAACAACGCCCUUCAACGAAUUUUUUGUCGGAUCGAAUUUCCCGAUCCCAGAAGAAAGAAAACUUUACUUUACUAACUAAAACGUGCCUAUCUUGGAUCCUAUCCCGCGUCGAAAGAUUUUUUUUCACGAGUGGUGGAGACACGAGAACGAUCGCGCGUCUUCGUAAACGGGAUCAAUUACAAAAAAAAAAA